UUUAAGGUCUAACCUGCCCAAUGAGGAUUUAAAUGGCCGCAGUAUUUUGACUGUGCAAAGGUAGCAUAAUUAUUAGUUUUUUAAUUGAAAGCUUGUAUGAAGGGUUGGACGAGAUAAAAUCUGUCUUUAUUUAAAUUAAAGUAUAAUUUAACUUUUAAGUUAAAAGGCUUAAAUGUUUAUAAAAGACGAGAAGACCCUAUAGAUCUUUAUUUAGUUAAGAUUUUAAUAAUUUAGGAUUAUUUUAAUUUGGAGUCUUAAUUGAAUUUUAUUGGGGUAAUAUAAAGAUUAAAUGAAUUCUUUUUAUUUAUGACAUUAAUUUAUGAAUAUAUGAUCCAUUAAUAUUGAUUAUAAGAUUAAGUUACCUUAGGGAUAACAGCGUAAUUUUUUUGGAGAGCUCAUAUCGAUAAGAAAGUUUGCGACCUCGAUGUUGGAUUAAAAAUUAGCUUGGGUGCAGAAGCUCAAGAUUUUGGUCUGUUCGACCAUUAAAUUUUUACAUGAUCUGAGUUCAGACCGGCGUAAGCCAGGUCGGUUUCUAUCUUUAUUCAGAUAAAAUAUUUUAGUACGAAAGGACCAAGUAUUUAAUAUAAUUAUAUUUAUUUUUUGAAGAAUAUU
rnacentral:rRNA from 1 species